CCAGGCUAUGGGAAAAAAUUAGAAAGCAUCAUCUAGUAUGGACUAGAUAUCACGUGUGUCCCUUUACACGUUUUAUUUCUUGAAUUCAUCUCAUUUAUUUCCAACUACAAAAAAGGACGUAAAAUCGUUAUGUAAUAAGGGAAAACAUUAAUGGAGAGUAAAAGAAUGUGGAUGCUAUGAAUUCAUUCUAACUUUACAAAAUGUGGUUUCGGCCAUUAAUGUGCAACCGUGUUUCUAUGUCUCCUCAAUGAAUAUUUGCCGGAAUAGUAACUACAAAAGGUUCCCAGCUUUAAUCGCCGCCCUUAUUGUGAUACCAAGAUUUGGACGUCACUUUUUACUUUAUGAUCAUCCUAUGAUUUUAAUGUUUUUCCUUCAGUGGUGGGAUGUCUAUUUCGUUAUGUUUUGUGGAAGUAUAGAGUUGGAUUUAGACGAAAAAGUUAGAACAUUUGAAAUGUGUGAAUGUAAGACUGAGAAUGAUUAAAUUUGAUUUGGUUCUAACGAGAAUCAAAAUGAAAGACGUACCUAUUGAAUAAAGCACUUUCGUAUGCAGUUAUGGGACCGAGUUGGAUCAGAACCCAUUAUUUCUAGCUUUGUCAAGUCAAAUUUAUUUUGCGCUUUAAAGGAUAAAAAAUAAAAAAUUUACUUUUGUGUAAAUUUUCAUAUUUUAUUUUAUACUUUCUGUUGAGGUAGUAAAAGUUUAAUAACUCGAAUAUAUGAGUUCAUUUUACCUAUUUCUAUAUUAUUUAUUAUUUUUGUCAAUGGGAUAAAUAAUUUCAAUUUUAUAUUCUUGGGCUCCAAGUCUAUUGAAAUAUGAGGGAUAUGUCUAAUGAUUUCAGUUAUAAGCUCAAAAUUCAUUAAACUAUAUUCAAUCUAAUGAAAUACUCAGAAAUCCCCUAACUAUAUAUGGGAGACCCGUAAAUUUUAAUGGAAUCGGUGAAAAUUGAGAUGAGGGCCUAAAUUUUAAUGAAAUCAAUUAAAAUAUAAGAUAAAGACAUCGAGAUUUCAAUAGACUUUUAAAAUUUAUUAAAAAAUGAAUUGGGGACAUCCCUAAUAUAGUUGUUGAUUUGAACGGGAUAUUAUAAAAAUUAAUAUUAAAAUAAAAUUAGAAUUUGGUGUUAUAGCUAGGAUGAACUGGAGUACAUCUGUCUAGUUUUUAGUUGCAAGACUCAAAUUCAAAUAAAUUUAACUAGAAUCAAAUCAAGUUGAAUUUAUCCAUUGUUUGGGGAUAUAGUAAAUUUUGUUUUGAAUGCAGAUGAACUAAGUUUAACAACGCAGAAACGAAGUUAAACAAAGUAACAAAUUGAUAGAAACCAAAAGUAGAUAUGAAGAAGAAAAAAUGAAUUAAAUGAUCCGAAGCAAGUGAAAACACACUUUUCUUAAGACAACUUUGCCUCAUAAUGCUUCUACCAUAAGAAAGUGAAAACACACUUUUCUUAAGACAACUUUGCCUCAUAAUGGUGCUACAAUGGAUUACUUUCUUAUGGUAGAAGCACUCUAAACUGUAAAGCAACAAUGAAUUUGAACUGAUUAUUCUUCAUUCAAAGAAAAUUUUGAAUGUAAAGUUUGGGAGAGUUUUUCGCAAGAAUUUUAAUGUGAGACUCAAG
rnacentral:lncRNA from 1 species